rnacentral:rRNA from 1 species
GACGAACCGUGCGAACGUUAUUCGGAAUCACUGGGCGUAAAGCGCACGUAGGCGGCUUUUAAGUCAGGGGUGAAAUCCUGGAGCUCAACUCCAGAACUGCCUUUGAUACUGAGAAGCUUGAGUCCGGGAGAGGUGAGUGGAACUGCGAGUGUAGAGGUGAAAUUCGUAGAUAUUCGCAAGAACACCAGUGGCGAAGGCGGCUCACUGGCCCGGUACUGACGCUGAGGUGCGAAAGCGUGGGGAGCAAACAG